rnacentral:misc_RNA from 1 species
UUGAUUACCACUUGCACAGGUGUCCGGCCUCCGGGUCGCGACAGCUGGGCGCCAGGUGUGGCUCCGCACCUGUCCAACUAAACCGGGCUACCAUUUUCAACACUGUUGCAUGGGUUGGCUGUCAAGUAGCGCAAGCUACGUGGCACCAACAAAUUUAACACACACUAAUGAUAACUAGGAUUUGAGUGUGAACUGAUGAACGGCUGGUAAUGCGGUCGUAAAAUCAAAAAA